UAAGCGUGGGAGACGUAGUGGAGGCAGAGGCGAGAUCCAAGUCAUUUGAUGAAUCAGGUUUUGCUGGAGGUCAGUCCCUUAUGAAGCUCCAUUCAGCUGGCAACUGAGCUGGGGUGAAAAUAACGCAAGAUGGCUUUCAUUUUCCAGGAUCCCACAUAGAGCCAGCUGACUCUCUGCCACUUGAGAAUACAGUGGGAAGACCACCAUAUGCAAUCCAGUACAAGAGCCCUCACCAGACACUUCAUGUACCAGCAACUGAUCCUGGACUUCCAGAUUCCAGAGCUAUAAGAAAUAAAUAUUUGUCAUUUAAGCUAUUAUACUCGGUCCAUGGUAAUUAGUUAUAGCAACCCAAACUAAGGCAGAAACAUAUCAAGAAGUAAGUAUGAUGCUGUAACAAACACACAAAAAUGUGGAAGUAGCUUUGGAAGUGGGUGUUAGGUAGGGGUGGAAAGUGUUCUGGGGUACAUGCAAAAAGAAGCCAAGAUUGUUUUGAAGGAAUUGUGAAAAAUAAUUUUGGUGACAGCUCAGAGAAAAAAGGAGGAGAGUUGGAGAAGGCCUCCAUCUUCUAGGAGAAUACUGAAGUGAUCAUGAACAGAAUGUUGAUAGCUACAUGACUGGUAAAGCUCAUUCCGAUUAGUUAUCAGAUGGAAUUGAGAAACAUGUUAUUGAAAACAGUAAAAAAGGCAAUCUUUACUAAUUGGCAAAGAAAUUGGCUGAUAGGUAUUUAUUUUCCAGUGGUUUGUUGAAGGUAGAAAUUGUGAGCAAUGAAAGUGGAUAUUUUGCUAAAGUGACUACUAAGCAAAGUUUCGAAAAACUGUUUUUGUUCCUCUUGACUGCUUAAAGUAAAAUGCAAAAAGAGAGAUAUAUCUUAAAUAUGAAAUCCUUAAGCCAAAACAAACUAAAACUUAAAAGAUUUAGAAAAUUCUUUUUUUUUUUUU
rnacentral:lncRNA from 1 species